rnacentral:misc_RNA from 1 species
AAGUCGUAACAAGGUUUCCGUAGGUGAACCUGCGGAAGGAUCAUUACAACGUAUCCACGUAUAAACAAACGCGAACAUUCCUUUGGGAAGUAAGACUAGGCCGCUAGUCUGUGAAGUUAAUCGGUCGAACUGGCAUGUGCUUCGCGAUGGAGUCGCUUGGAGAGUCCGAGCGACUGGAGCAUCAGUUCUGGCCCGGAACAGUACUUUGUGACAUUUCCGGACUUCGUUUCUCCCCAAAGUGUAACUCUACCAUCGGGUUCCUAUGUACCUUUUAUUAACCCUUUGCAACUUUUGAACUGAACUUGGUAACACUGCGGCUUUCCUUGUUGGCUUCGGUCACGGAGAGCGCCAACGCGGUGCUUUACUACUUAUUACGAAAUAAGAACAACUCUUAACAACGGAUAUCUUGGUUCUC